CCCUUGGAGUGUCAUAGCAAACAAAAGUAGCCGAGGCAAAAUUGGACACAUAGAAGGGGGAA
rnacentral:sRNA from 12 species